rnacentral:rRNA from 1 species
CUACGGGUGGCAGCAGUGAGGAAUAUUGCACAAUGGGGGGAGCCCUGAUGCAGCAACGCCGCGUGGAGGAUGACGCAUUUCGGUGUGUAAACUCCUUUUAUAUGUCAAGAAAAUGACGGUAGCAUAUGAAUAAGCACCGGCUAACUCCGUGCCAGCAGCCGCGGUAAUACGGAGGGUGCAAGCGUUACUCGGAAUCACUGGGCGUAAAGGACGCGUAGGCGGGUUGGAAAGUCAGGUGUGAAAUCCUACAGCUUAACUGUAGAACUGCACUUGAAACUUCUAAUCUAGAGUAUGGGAGGGGGGAUGGAAUUAGAGGUGUAGGGGUAAAAUCCGUAGAUAUCACUAGGAAUACCUAAAGCGAAGGCGAUCUCCUGGAACAGUACUGACGCUGAGGCACGAAAGCGUGGGGAGCAAACAGGAUUAGAUACCCUCGUAGUC